rnacentral:rRNA from 1 species
AAUUUUGGACAAUGGGCGCACGCCUGAUCCAGCCAUGCCGCGUGUGUGAAGAAGGNUUNNGGAUUNUNAAGCACUUUAAGUUGNNNNNAAGGGUUGUAGNUUAAUACUCUGCAAUUUUGACGAUACCGACAGAAUAACAACCGGCUAACUUCGUUCCAGCAUACGCGGGAAUACGAAGGGUGCAAGCGUUAAUCGGAAUUACAUGGCGUAAAGCGCGCGUAGGUGGUUCGUUAAGUUGGAAGUGAAAGCCCCGGGCUCAACCUGGGAACUGCAUCCAAAACUGGCGAGCUAGAGUACGGUAGAGGGUGGUGGAAUUUCCUGUGUAGCGGUGAAAUGCGUAGAUAUAGGAAGGGACAUCAGUGGCGAAGGCGACCACCUGGACUGAUACUGACGCUCAUGCACGAAAGCGUGGGUAGCAAACAGG